rnacentral:rRNA from 1 species
GACGAACGCUGGCGGCGUGCCUAAUACAUGCAAGUAGGACGCAGUUGCGAACGGGUGAGUAACGCGUAGGUAACUACCUAUUAGAGGGGGAUAACUAUUGGAAACGAUAGCUAAUACCGCAUACUAGUAGAUGGACCUGCGUUGUAUUAGCAAGUAGGUAGGGGAAUGGCCUACCUAGGCAACGAUACAUAGCCGACCUGAGGGGGUGCACGGCCAAACUGGGACGUGGACAAGGGCCAGACUCCUACGGGAGGCAGCAGUAGGGAAUCUUCGGCAAUGGGGGGAAACCUGGCCGAGCAACGCCGCGUGAGUGAAGAAGGGUUUCGGAUCGUAAAGCUCUGUUGUUAAGGGAGCGGUACUUAACCAGAAAGGGACGGCUAACUACGUGCCAGCAGCCGCGGUAAUAC